rnacentral:rRNA from 1 species
UGCUAUACAUGCAAGUCGAACGCUUCUUUUUCCACCGGAGCUUGCUCCACCGGAAAAAGAGGAGUGGCGAACGGGUGAGUAACACGUGGGUAACCUGCCCAUCAGAAGGGGAUAACACUUGGAAACAGGUGCUAAUACCGUAUAACAAUCAAAACCGCAUGGUUUUGAUUUGAAAGGCGCUUUCGGGUGUCGCUGAUGGAUGGACCCGCGGUGCAUUAGCUAGUUGGUGAGGUAACGGCUCACCAAGGCCACGAUGCAUAGCCGACCUGAGAGGGUGAUCGGCCACAUUGGGACUGAGACACGGCCCAAACUCCUACGGGAGGCAGCAGUAGGGAAUCUUCGGCAAUGGACGAAAGUCUGACCGAGCAACGCCGCGUGAGUGAAGAAGGUUUUCGGAUCGUAAAACUCUGUUGUUAGAGAAGAACAAGGAUGAGAGUAACUGUUCAUCCCUUGACGGUAUCUAACCAGAAAGCCACGGCUAACUACGUGCCAGCAGCCGCGGUAAAGAGUUUG